rnacentral:rRNA from 1 species
GACGAACGUUGGCGGCGUGCUUAACACAUGCAAGUCGAACGGAAAGGCCCUGCUUUUGUGGGGUGCUCGAGUGGCGAACGGGUGAGUAGCACGUGAGUAACCUGCCCUUGACUUUGGGAUAACUUCAGGAAACUGGGGCUAAUACCGGAUAGGAGCUCCUGCUGCAUGGUGGGGGUUGGAAAGUUUCGGCGGUUGGGGAUGGACUCGCGGCUUAUCAGCUUGUUGGUGGGGUAGUGGCUUACCAAGGCUUUGACGGGUGGCCGGCCUGAGAGGGUGACCGGCCACAUUGGGACUGAGAUACGGCCCAGACUCCUACGGGAGGCAGCAGUGGGGAAUAUUGCACAAUGGGCGGAAGCCUGAUGCAGCAACGCCGCGUGCGGGAUGACGGCCUUCGGGUUGUAAACCGCUUUCGCCUGUGACGAAGCGUGAGUGACGGUAAUGGGUAAAGAAGCACCGGCUAACUACGUGCCAGCAGCCGCGGUGAUACGUAGGGCGCGAGCGUUGUCCGGAUUUAUUGGGCGUAAAGGGCUCGUAGGUGGUUGAUCGCGUCGGAAGUGUAAUCUUGGGGCUUAACCCUGAGCGUGCUUUCGAUACGGGUUGACUUGAGGAAGGUAGGGGAGAAUGGAACUCCUGGUGGAGCGGUGGAAUGCGCAGAUAUCAGGAGGAACACCAGUGGCGAAGGCGGUUCUCUGGGCCUUUCCUGACGCUGAGGAGCGAAAGCGUGGGGAGCGAACAGGCUUAGAUACCCUGGUAGUCCACGCUGUAAACGGUGGGUACUAGGUGUGGGGUCCAUUCCACGGGUUCCGUGCCGUAGCUAACGCUUUAAGUACCCCGCCUGGGGAGUACGGCCGCAAGGCUAAAACUCAAAGGAAUUGACGGGGCCCCGCACAAGCGGCGGAGCAUGCGGAUUAAUUCGAUGCAACGCGUAGAACCUUACCUGGGUUUGACAUGGAUCGGGAGUGCUCAGAGAUGGGUGUGCCUCUUUUGGGGUCGGUUCACAGGUGGUGCAUGCCUGUCGUCAGCUCGUGUCGUGAGAUGUUGGGUUAAGUCCCGCAACGAGCGCAACCCUUGUUCACUGUUGCCAGCACGUUAUGGUGGGGACUCAGUGGAGACCGCCGGGGUCAACUCGGAGGAAGGUGGGGAUGACGUCAAGUCAUCAUGCCCCUUAUGUCCAGGGCUUCACGCAUGCUACAAUGGCUGGUACAGAGAGUGGCGAGCCUGUGAGGGUGAGCGAAUCUCGGAAAGCCGGUCUCAGUUCGGAUUGGGGUCUGCAACUCGACCUCAUGAAGUCGGAGUCGCUAGUAAUCGCAGAUCAGCAACGCUGCGGUGAAUACGUUCCCGGGGCU